CAGGUGGCUGUGCAGUGAGUGGGUUGCUCUUUGACAAUGCGGCAUUGGACUGUCUACAGUCAUAAAAUGUUAAAAUUAUAAGAUCUAGAGAUGGGAGUAGGCAAGAAGGAGUCAACCGGGAUUGGCAAGAGGAAUGUCUAGUUUUCCAGAAAAUAAUUGGUGUCUCCGGGAAGGUGGUGAUUGACUCCGCUGUCCUGGCGUCGUGAGGGAGCUUGUUGACUGGGCUGAGCGGGAACUGUGCUUUCUCAGAGGUAGGGGGGCCAGCAGGCCAGAGGUGGAUGAGCGCAGUGCCCUCGUUUGGGUGUAGGGACUGAUCAGAGCCUGAAGGUACGUGGGGUGAGACAUUCUCACUAAUUUGUAAAUAAAG
rnacentral:lncRNA from 1 species